GCUUGCUCUCUUGCACUCUGGCUCCUGAAGAUGUAAGCAAUAAAGCUUUGCCGCAGAAGAUUCUGGUUUGUUGCGUCUUUCCUGGCCGGUCGUGAGAACGCGUCUAAUAACAAUUGGUGCUGAAACCCGGGGCGAGAAGACCUGGGAAGAGAAAAUCCGGGACGAGAAAAAACUCGGGACUGGCGCAAGGAAGAUCCCUCAUUCCAGAACCAGAACUGCGGGUCGCGGUAAUAAAGGUUCCCGUAAAGCAGACUGUUAAGAAGGAUUCAACUGUAUGAAUUCAGAACUUUUCAGCUGGGGAACGAGAGUACCAGUGAGUAUAGCUUUACGAGAAAUGCAAAUAUGGGUGGCAUCUGACAUCAAAGAAGGAAGAAGUGAGACCCAGACAACUUCAAGGCAUCUCUCAGAUUUAUAUUCUACUUCACUCCCUGGAGCCCUUUUAUAGACUACAAAAGGCAAAAAAAUGGAGCUGUCUGAUCAAGUACGCUAUUUCUGAUGCUCCUCAGAGUCACGUAUCUUCAAUACAGCCAGAAAAGAAGAAAAAAAGAAUCACACAUACGCCUACUUAGAUAUACUCAUUCUCCUUUUUAUCAUGUUCGUAGCUAUUUCUAUUGUCUGUCUGCAAAGAAGCUAACUGCAAUGAGGUUCUUGUUUUAAAACAGAAGGAAUCCAAGAGCUGGCAUUGUUACAACUGCUGGUAGCAAAAACAAUGACACUCAAAGUAUUUUGGCUUUGGAAGUCGUCCUUGUGCAUUAAGCAACAUGUCCCUGAGAGAAUCAAAUCACAAUAUGUCACUGCAAACCUUUGUUUUAUUAAACCACCUUAGUGGGAAAAAAAUGAAUAAAACUAUUCAACUGUUUGAGGAGGAAAAAAAAGAUGUAGACAUUACAAGAACAAUCUAUUUCUAAACCACUGCUUUGAUGGAAAAGCUAAAUUUGUAUAUACACUGUUCUCCAUGCAUCUCAUCAUUGCCUCUACAACACAUGCUAGUACUGUCUCAUCAAAAGAUACGUAGAUUUAAAAUGGUCUUUUUUCUACAUUGGCCUCUAAAUCCUAGUGGGGAUUUCAACAAAAGGGGGAUUACAGUAUUCAUAUUUACUGCUGUGAGAUGCAGAGCCUUGUAUUUAGCAUGUGUUCAGAAAAAUGGCAAAUGAAUGAAUAAUGCAUGUUUUUAAUGAAGUUAUGCAAACAUGAUUUCAUUUCACCUGAUUCCUCUUGUUCAUACUUUCUACUUCUAUGUGGCAAUGGUGAUGAAAAAGCAGACACUUGCAAAGUUCUGACGAACAUCAUUAUAGAUAUGGAAAGAAUUGAAUUUACCUAAAAUACCAUUACAUAUAUUGGGAAGCCAUUGUAGUAAGAUUGUGUGUCCUGAUUUGAAAAAUCUGCACUGAAAAUAAUACAUAAUAAAGGAAACCAACAAAGUGGAUUAUAUAUUCAUGUUCCUUUUCUUGUGUUUGCCAGGGAAGGGUUGGGGGAAGGUACUGGCUAUUGAACCCAGAGCUUUCUGCAUUCUGUGUCAGCAUUGUACCCGUAAGGCAUGUCUUCACUCAUUGCUUUAUAUUUUAUUUUGAAGCAAAGUCUUUCUAAGUUGUUUAAACUUGACUUGAAUUCAUUUGUAAUCUAGUCUUUGAAGUCUAUUUCUCCUGUUUUAGCUUCUUGAAUAGUUAAGAUAUAUGUUUAUUCCAACAAAUUCAGUAUAACUCCCCUCAAUAACUUAACACUUAAAAUUACCAAUGAAUUAUACUUCCUCCUAUCACAAUUAUAAUUCUACUGCAGGUGAAACACAUACAUACAUGCACACACACACACACACACACACACACACACACACACAAUCCAUACACACGUUCCUUGAUGAAACUAUUCCUCUUGUACUUUUGUAUCACUAAAAUUAUCUUGCUUGUUUUUCCUGAACUCUUUUCAAGCUUUCUGUCCUAAAACUAAGUAGGAUGCCAGGUAGAUCUAGCAAGAGAGGGAGGAGAAGUGGGACAAGUUGAAUAAUUAAUCAAACUAGUAAUUAAUUAUACCACCUAGGACACUGAUUCUAAAUUUGGGUGAAGAAUAAAGUCACUGGCAGGAAGGAAAGGAGGAAAUGUGAGAGAGCAAAAGAAUAAGAUAUAGACAAAUUUAUUGAUAACUGGUUAGAUAGGAACUAUCUAACUGUCAGGUAGGAACUUACUGACUGGAGUAGUCUUUACAUUAAAUCUGUGGACCGACUAAUUUUUAUCAUUGGACAAGCUGGGAAGAGUAUGUAAUGCAGGAUAAAGUUGGGGGUGGUUACACUUAUAGGAAACUGGUCAGGAGUCAUGAAGAUCAGAGACUCCACAGUAUAAAUCAUCAGGCAAGAUAUGUGUGCAGUACUGAGAAGCCAACAAGAGUCAGACAAGAUUUCCCAGCAGGCUCCCCCAACACAGCUACAAGAAUGUGGCAUCAGGAACUGUGAGAUUUAAACAGCUCAAAUAAUUCCUUCUUAAAAAUCAUGAAGGUAUGACAUAUCCUGUAAAGUGUGAGACUGCAAUGUAAGUCCACCUUGAUCAAGAUAGUAAUCAUUUCAGGUAGCUCAGAAUAUUCUCUCUUUUGAAUAUCCAAGCAAUGUUUAAUAUAUUCAAACUCUUUUCAAAGUUAAAGGGAUCCAUAGUGAUGUUUUUCUUUUUCAUUUCAUCAACAUAUGAUUUGUAUUCUUUCUAGACUCACCUUAUUUGGAGAAUGACAGUUGAAAAUAUUUUCAAAGAGCUAACGUUGCCUCUGUUACUUUUAUCUAUUAUGCAUAUAUUGUCUACUUGAUAGAUUUAUGGUUUGGUAUGUGCAUUAUUUUCUCUAUUUCUACUUUGUGCAAGUUUCAAAUGCUGGUCUUAUCUGGUUUUAAUCAAAGGUCCCAAAUUUUUAAUGCUCCUUCAUUUUGAAUACAUUCAAUAAAAACUAUAAAUUUCUUGUGUGCUUUCUUUU
rnacentral:lncRNA from 1 species